rnacentral:rRNA from 1 species
GACGAACGCUGGCGGCGUGCCUAAUACAUGCAAGUUGAGCGAUGAAGAUUGGUGCUUGCACCAAUUUGAAGAGCAGCGAACGGGUGAGUAACGCGUGGGGAAUCUGCCUUUGAGCGGGGGACAACAUUUGGAAACGAAUGCUAAUACCGCAUAAUAACUUUAAACAUAAGUUUUAAGUUUGAAAGAUGCAAUUGCAUCACUCAAAGAUGAUCCCGCGUUGUAUUAGCUAGUUGGUGAGGUAAAGGCUCACCCAGGCGAUGAUACAUAGCCGACCUGAGAGGGUGAUCCGCCACCUUGGGAAUGAGACACCGCCCAAACCCCUACGGGAGGCAGCAGUAGGGAAUCUUCGGCAAUGGACGAAAGUCUGACCGAGCAACGCCGCGGGAGUGAAGAAGGUUUUCGGAUCGUAAAACUCUGUUGGUAGAGAAGAACGUUGGUGAGAGUGGAAAGCUCAUCAAGUGACGGUAACUACCCAGAAAGGGACGGCUAACUACGUG